ensembl:lncRNA
UGACCACUUGGGCUCCUGGCUCGCAGGGAGACGCCGUGGGCCUGGCCGGGCGGGGGUCCCUGAGGGUGGCCUGUCCCCUCCCCCCGGCACGGCCUAGCUGGCUUCCGGGCCCCCAAGCCCUGCGGGAUCUCCCAGGACAGAGUGGCCUGUGAGGGUAGUCAGACGGAGAGGAGGCAGCAGGACAGCACCUGGCCCACAGGCCCGCCCGGAAGGCACGAGCCCGGGAACAAUGCCCUUCGUGUGACAGACUUUCCCUCCGUGGGAGAAAAUAGAGCUUGAUAGAAUGGCAAUUUCCUGCAUUUGUGCUAUGGCAGAGAGUGGUUCACACAGGGACCUCCCACAAAGGGGAGCUCCUCGCCAAGUCGGCGGGGGCCCCAGGGCCGGGCAAGGGUCCUCCCUGUCCUCCAGGCCCCUGCCCGCCCCCCAAGCCUCAGCUCCAACUCAAGCAGCUUGUGGACGUGCAGAGGGGCUGGGAGGGGGCAGGGGGGCUUCCUGGAGGAGGGGACCUUGGACAGAUUGGGCCAUGAAGACAGCUUCUCAGGGGACAGAGGGCCCAGGGCAGAGCAGAUGGGGUGCCACGGUGAGGGCAGGCCGGGGGCACUGCCAUGGGUGGAGGGCAGAGGUUCCAGGGAGGCAUACCAGCAGCAGAGCCUGGGCCUCCGUCUACGUUCUGAGUGAGGAAGCGGGCAGCCUGGAGGUGCCCCUGGAUAUGGCGAUGCUGAGUGCUUGUGGCCCAUGACGGCUGCCAUGGGCUGAAGGUCCCAGUGCCUCCGCCCGCGGGGCCUGGCUGGCCCGGGUGGUCAGACCCAGAGCCCAGGGGACCGCUGACCUGCUGCGGCGGGGGCAGGAUCCUGAGGACACCCCUGGGGUCUUUCCCCUCCCAGAAGAGGUUUGUGGCCAGGGCCUGGGAAGAGGGGGUUUGAGGCGGAGCAGGGCGCCUGUGGCCGGGACGGAGUGCCUGGCCCAGGCUCACACUGCGGGGUUCUUGGGCCAUGUACUGAGGAUGCCGUCUCUACCCACCUCUUCUCUGAGGACGGGCCGCUGGCCGGCCCUCCUGCCGGCCCUCCUGCCCAGUAAUUCCAGCGCUGAUGCGCUCUCCAGGGCACACAGCCUGGCAGGCUGUCCCGACCUCUGUGUUUCAACCUUUCUCUGUCCCUGGGCACAGGGACUCAAAUGAGCUACGAGCUGCCCACCACACCCCAGCCCUGGGGGCCACCCUGUGGCCACUGGCCUCUUGGUCUCUCCUGGGGGAAGCCCUGGCUGACCCUCCUGCCUUCUCCUAAGGCUUCAGCAGCUCCCACACCCAAAGCCCACCACGGCCACACCUCUCCUUGGAGCUCAGGCCUCACCCGUUCACACCUCACCCCCAUUCAGGGCCCAGAGCACAGAGGUGGUGGGACCCCUGCCUUGCCCUGGGGACACAAGGCCGUUCUCUGUAGGUGCUUCAGACAGCAGUGCAGGGCAGGGCCUCACGGCUGAGAUGAGGCUUCUCUAGGACACCCUGCCUUUUCAUACUGUUCAUGGUGUUCUCAAGGAGAGAGUACUUAAGUUUCAAAAAACUAAGACCAUGGCAUCCAGUCCCAUCACUUCAUGGCAAAUAGAUGGGGAAACAAUGGAAACAGUGUCAGACUUGAUUUUCUUGGGCUCCAAAAUCACUGCAGAUGGUGACUGCAGCCAUGAAAUUAAAGGAUGCUUGCUCCUAGGAAGAAAGGCUAUGACAAAUGUAGACAGUGUAUUAAAAGGCAGACAUCACUUUGCCUACAAAGGUCCAUAUAGUCAAAGCUAUGGUUCUUCCAG